UGGGGAAUCUUGGACAAUGGGCGCAAGCCUGAUCCAGCCAUGCCGCGUGAGUGAUGAAGGCCUUAGGGUUGUAAAGCUCUUUUGGCGGGGACGAUAAUGACGGUACCCGCAGAAUAAGCCCCGGCUAACUUCGUGCCAGCAGCCGCGGUAAUACGAAGGGGGCUAGCGUUGUUCGGAAUUACUGGGCGUAAAGCGCACGUAGGCGGACUUUCAAGUCAGGGGUGAAAUCCCGGGGCUCAACCUCGGAACUGCCUCUGAUACUGUUGGUCUUGAAUCCGGUAGAGGUGGGUGGAAUUCCUAGUGUAGAGGUGAAAUUCGUAGAUAUUAGGAAGAACACCGGUGGCGAAGGCGGCUCACUGGCUCGAUACUGACACUGAGGUGCGAAAGCGUGGGGAGCAAACAGGAUUAGAUACCCCUGUAGUCCCUGANCGGG
rnacentral:rRNA from 1 species